rnacentral:rRNA from 1 species
AUGAAGUUGGAUUCGCUAGUAAUCGCGCAUCAGCCAUGGCGCGGUGAAUACGUUCCCGGGCCUUGUACACACCGCCCGUCAAGCCAUGGGAGCCGGGGGUGCCUGAAGUUCGUGACCGCAAGAAGCGACCUAGGGCAAAACUGGUGACUGGGGCUAAGUCGUAACAAGGUACC